CGUUUACCAGUUCUGGAGUUGUCUAGAAUAACUCAGUGUAGAGUUGGGAAGUCAUAGAUUGGCUAAAAUGGAGAUAACCUACCCUGGCUCCCCGUUCCCAGGACUCCCUGCCCCCUGCUCUUUAUCCCCGUCCCCCAUCCCAUAUCCCAUCCUUAAACUUAGCUUAGCAGCCUGGGUACCCCCUCACAGUGGGGUCCAGCCAGGGCAGAGGAGGAGCAUGGUGUCUAUGUCUAUGACCUGAUGGCUACUGUGGUACACAUCCUGGACUCACGAACAGGAGGCAGCUUGGUAGCUCACAUCAAAGUCGGCGAGACCUACCACCAGCGCAAGGAGGUGAGUGAAAUGACCCAGAGAAGAGUGCUCCUGGAGGAGGUAGCUGUGGUGCAGUCCCAGGUCUGCCCCGAGCUCCUGGCUACAGCACAGUCCUAGUCUGUGCCCAAGAUCUUAGCAAGGAGACAGCUAGCUAUCACUUUGACUUUAGCCUGGCUCUUUACCUGCACAGGGAGUGACUCACCAGCAGUGGUAUCUCUUCAAUGACUUCCUUAUUGAACCUAUUGAUAAGUAUGAAGCUGUGCAAUUUGAUAUGAACUGGAAAGUACCUGCUAUCCUGUAUUACGUCAAAAGGAAUCUCAAUUCCAGAUACAACCUGAACAUCAAGAACCCUAUUGAGGCUAGCGUGCUGCUGGCAGAAGCCUCACUGGCACGGAAACAACGGAAAACACACACUACCUUUAUCCCACUGAUGCUGAAUGAGA
rnacentral:lncRNA from 1 species